UUCCUGAUAUCUGACUUUGUGGUGAUGUACCAGGUGUACUGGUGAAUAAUGUGGAUUUUGUAAUAAAAAAAACAUGAUAAUUUCAAGAGAAACAUCAAAAGUGCUUUAUU